UCAGCGAUGUACGGAGUACGGUUUAUCGAUCUCGGACGGUGAACGUGGGCGCACUUCUAAACGAUACAACGGUUUGUCACGGUUCUGUUACCGCUGUGACUCGAACUUUCACCGUUAAUAUACUAAUACGAUUGAUUAUUUUUAUGUACGAACCAAUUUAUUCAUUCUCGAUUCAUUCGUUUGGCAACACUUCACUUCCGCAGCUUGUAAAAGGCAUCGAAACUGUAGAAUACCAGUGCAGUAUAGAAGUACGGUUCUCGGUUAACACUUCACUGAGAAAAUGAUCGAGGAUUAUACGUGUCGCGCUAACCGUGACUACCAUCACUGUGCAGUACUGUCGGCUCAGACUUGUCUCUGCACCGGCGCAGCUUUCAAUUCGAAGGAAACCAGUGGAACGAACUAUACCCGUUACCGUACCGUUCCAUCGACCUCAAGAGGACUCCACCGAACCAGCAGUUCUAGUGGCUUAUCGGUCGAGUUCAUAAAACGCGCGUAAAAGGAACAAGAUCGAUGGGAAUUACAUUCGAGGCAAUACGAUUGAAAGUAGGAGUACGCUGAACAAUAAUAAGAUCGAUCGAAAAAAUCAAAAAUCUACUCUGUAUUUUCUGGCUCCUUGAAAUAUCAGGUUCGUAGAAAGAAUCGAAUGCUGUCCGAUUGAAUCCACUUGUCGGAGGAAGAAAAUAUACGUACAAGAGAACACACGGUAUUAUGUGAAUCCUUUAUAGGAUAAAACAAUGAAUAUUCAGAGGUAAUCGAAUCGAAGCAGCUGUCCAUAAAUGAGAUCUGUGACAACCAUGAACAUUUAGAGAAUCAAUCGCACGUGAAAGAAACUAAGAACAUUUAAAAAUAGACGGACGUGUUAAAGAAUAUCCUACACGUACUUGUGGAAAUAUGAAAAAUAUAAGGAAGAAAUAGCGAGUAAGUUAUGUUCUCUUUGGGUCCUAGAGAAGAUAUACAAUAACACAUUGUCAACAGUUUGAGAACAUAUCAGGUGAUAUUUAUUUCAAAAUUAGACAAAUACCUAGAGAAACUGAUCAACAACAGACAUGUACACGUUACACCGGCGGUGUGAAAACAUCGCGACUAUACCAGGAAAUUUGAAACAGGUUCUUCUAAGGGAACAAGCUGUGCGGGGAACAUUGGAAAAUUCGAAAACGUAAGAAUUUUAAACUUUCAGGAUGAGAUGGUCAUGCAACAGUGGAUGAAAAGUAAAUGGUGAUUAAAAGUUUAUCAUUGAAAUAUACGGUGUCGGUAAAUGAUCUCCCUUGGUUAACAUAGUCCUCCUAGUAUGCAACUUGUAUGUCAGGGCUGUCAAACCGGGAGAUUACAAGUGUUCUAGGGUUUUUCCUUUCUUGUUGUCCUUAUGGAAAAUUAGCGAUCUUUGGAUCUGAUCUUGACUUUCAUAUCGAACAAUAUACGAAUCUGCUCGUGUAUUUUGUAUAGCAGAUGUGUCCAAUUUAUUCUCCUCAGGCCAAUAACUCGUAAACAGCGAC